UUCAACAAAGGCCGGAAUUCUCCGACGGAGCACCCUUCGCAAGAUAUUGGAGAGAUCGAACGCCGAAAAAUGGAUAAUCCGAAGCAUACAUGCUUGAAACUGGAAAUGCGGUCAGGGGGCAGUGAGAUUGGGUCCGUGUUCGUGAAGGGAUCGUGGUAUCCGACUCGCUUCGACCUCGCCAUAACUGACGGACUCCAUGCUUGGACUUGCCAAGCUAACGAGGAGGAGGUGAAGGAUAGAGCGUCGAAUUGGGAUCAAACUGUGUCGGAUUACAUCGAUUUGGCCGAGAGGUAUCUAGGGUUUCAGCAGCCUGGAUCGGUUUACGAGUUUUCGGAUGCUGGAAAUGGAUGCAAACGGUUAUCAUGGACAUUUGAGAAGGAAGGUGUAAAACUGGAAUGGCGGUGGAAAUGCCAACCCUCUGCUGAUAGCAAAAGGACUACCGUGGAGAUUCUGGACUUUCUCAUGGAUGCUAAUAUAAAAUUGAGCGAGGAAGUCAUCUGGAAAACUCAAUCGUUUGACAAGCUGAAACAAGAGGCUGAAAAAUGUUUAACACAAAGCGAGAAGCUCAGCAGUGAGAAAGCAGAAUUCGAAUCGUUUUGCUAUGCGAAGUUUGUUAAUGUCCUAAAUUCCAAGAAAGCUAAACUUAGAGAGCUUCGCGAUCGGCUCUCCAAACAAACGACAUCUCCCCCCUUAUCCGACAAGGAAGAGGAGUCCACGGACAAAACAGAGAGCUUCGAUGAAGCAAGUGAUGACGAGGCAGAAAAGGAUAUUGGUGGGUCCUCUAAAGAUGUUCCGGCUAUUAAGGUCUUGUCUAGAAAAAGGAAAUAACCUAUUUUGUCUUCUCUAUUACAGUGUCUCCUAGAAUUAUAGUUUUUUCAGAUUUGCUUUGUUCGGUAGAUUCAUAUCCCAUAUUAUAAAUUAUCCCUCUUUUGAAAACGACGAAUCAGUGUAUAUAUAUAGAUAUGUCAUUGAAGGAUCGUUAGUACUUUACAGCCACAAACAGAUCGAUGAUGACAAUGGGAAUGCAGUCGACAUUUUCAAGGGACAGAGACAUAGAUUCACAGACGUCGAACUCCCAAUGGUACUCGAUUCCAAGACCAGAAAUUCGACAAAAAAGG